rnacentral:sRNA from 1 species
UCUGUGCUUCCACACCAUUUCAUAUGCCU